rnacentral:rRNA from 1 species
UACGUAGGGCGCAAGCGUUAUCCGGAAUUAUUGGGCGUAAAGAGCUCGUAGGCGGUUUGUCGCGUCUGCCGUGAAAGUCCGGGGCUCAACUCCGGAUCUGCGGUGGGUACGGGCAGACUAGAGUGAUGUAGGGGAGACUGGAAUUCCUGGUGUAGCGGUGAAAUGCGCAGAUAUCAGGAGGAACACCGAUGGCGAAGGCAGGUCUCUGGGCAUUAACUGACGCUGAGGAGCGAAGGCGUGGGGAGCAAACAGG